UACGGAGGAUGCAAGCGUUAUCCGGAAUGAUUGGGCGUAAAGCGUCCGCAGGUGGCAAUGUAAGUCUGCUGUCAAAGCGUCUGGCUCAACCAGAUAAAGGCAGUGGAAACUACAUAGCUAGAGUAAGGUAGGGGUAGAGGGAAUUCCUGGUGUAGCGGUGGAAUGCGUAGAGAUCCGGAAGAACACCGGUGGCGAAGGCGGCCUGCUGGGCAGUUGCUGACACUGAGGCGCGACAGCGUGGGGAGCAAACAGG
rnacentral:rRNA from 1 species